GACGUAGGGCGCGAGCGUUGUCCGGAUUUAUUGGGCGUAAAGAGCUCGUAGGCGGCUUGUUGCGUCGACCGUGAAAACCCGGGGCUCAACUUCGGGCUUGCGGUCGAUACGGGCGGGCUAGAGUUCGGUAGGGGAGACUGGAAUUCCUGGUGUAGCGGUGAAAUGCGCAGAUAUCAGGAAGAACACCAAUGGCGAAGGCAGCUCUCUGGGACGGUACUGACGCUGAGACGCGAAAGCGUGGGGAGCGAACAGG
rnacentral:rRNA from 1 species